rnacentral:rRNA from 1 species
UACGUAGGGUGCGAGCGUUGUCCGGAAUUACUGGGCGUAAAGAGCUCGUAGGCGGUUUGUCGCGUCUGCUGUGAAAUCCCAGGGCUUAACCCUGGGCCUGCAGUGGGUACGGGCAAACUAGAGUGCGGUAGGGGAGAUCGGAAUUCCUGGUGUAGCGGUGAAAUGCGCAGAUAUCAGGAGGAACACCGGUGGCGAAGGCGGAUCUCUGGGCCGUAACUGACGCUGAGGAGCGAAAGCAUGGGUAGCGAACAGG